rnacentral:rRNA from 1 species
ACGAACGCUGGCGGCGUGCUUAACACAUGCAAGUCGAACGGAAAGGCCCCUUUGGGGGUACUCGAGUGGCGAACGGGUGAGUAACACGUGAGUAACCUGCCCUUGACUUCGGGAUAACUUCAGGAAACUGGGGCUAAUACCGGAUAGGAAUCCUUGCUGCAUGGUGGGGGUUGGAAAGCUUCGGCGGUUUUGGAUGGACUCGCGGCUUAUCAGCUUGUUGGUGGGGUAGUGGCUUACCAAGGCUUUGACGGGUAGCCGGCCUGAGAGGGCGACCGGCCACAUUUGGACUUGGAUACGGCCCAGACCUCCACCGGAGGGAGGAGUGGGGAAUAUUGCACCAUUGGCCGAAGCCUGAUUCAGCAACGCCGCGGUCGGGAUGACCGGCUUCGGGUUUUAAACCCGCUUCAGCAGGGGCGAAGCUUGUGGUGACGGUACCUGCAGAAGAAGCACCGGCUAACUACGUG